rnacentral:lncRNA from 1 species
ACACUUAAAUUUCACAUAAUAAUAGCCAUUAUCCAUCACUAAUAACACAAAAUAUUAAUUAUAUAUGAUGACCGGGCCACCGGGCCGAUUUCAGGUGACCCGAGCUAUGGCCCGGACCCGACCCGAAAUUAUGACCGGGUCUAUUUUUGAGACCCAUACCCGACCCUAGACCCGAUGAAAUCACACCAAAUUAGUCCCUAAAGUGUUCGGGACCGGAUCGGGCCUUCGGGCUGGGCCGGGCCAUGCACACCCCUACUAUAUUUAUAACCUUAAUUAAAUAUGGACAGAAGAGAGAGAAAAUGUCGCAUCACUCUACAGUGACCUGUUCCACCCAAAAGACCAGCCUCAUUUUUCUUUCAACAUUGACUUUUAUGGCAGUUCCGAACAAGAGCUCCUACCUCACCUCAAUUCCUACCAACGAAAAUGAAGAAAUAUCGACGCCAUAAAUAAUGAGGUUACUACCCCCAAAUCUCUGCUCAAGAAAAUGUCAGGUGUCGGUGAUGGCAAGAUUACCGAUAAGGAGGAUGAAUACCGCCAAAGGAGGGUCGAGCAGAUCAUUUCCCUGAACACCAUUGCUAAGAAGAAGAAGGAAGAGGAGGAUACUGCUAAGGCGGCACCACCACAGGCUGCACCGACACCGCAACAGCAGCAAUAGAAAAAACGGAAGAAUAAGUGGAACGAGUCACAAGAUGAGGAGGGUGGUACUGCAAAAUAAUAAAAAAAUUGUUG